ACACACCCAGAGCAGUGGGCAGCCAAUGCUGCGGUGCCCGGGGAGCAGUUGGGGGUAUGGUGCCUUGCUCAAGGGUCUCACCUCAGUCGUGGUAUUGAGGGUGGAGAGAGCGCUGUACAUUCACUCCCCUCAUUUGAACCCAUGACCUUUGGGUUACAAGUCUAACUCUCUAUCUAUUAGGCCACAACUGCCCAAGUCAUAAGGAGACUUGGAGCCUGGAAAAGGACACCAAAUAACCAAAUGAUAUAAGGAGUCCAUAUAAUUCAUAAAUGUAUGCACAUGAAAAAAUUACAGAAAAAAAAAAAUCAGAAUUCACAGUGUAUAGUAUAGCCUCGUUUCCACUGCAGGAACUUUCCCCAGGAACUAGGAAUUUUGGACUGGUGUGUUUCGACCACAGGAACUAGGGUCUAAAUUAAGUUCUUGGUAAAAAAUUUCCCCCUCAGAAAGCCCCUGCUCAUGAGGUAGUACUUUCGCAAAGUUCAGGAAAUUUCAGGGUGGGACUUGGGCGCUGAACAUUUGAGUUCACGCAGUUAACACGCAGCAUUUUAUUUCAACCACCAUUUUUAAAAGUCUGUUGCGGUGCGUGCAGUAAGGCCAUGUGUCCACCAAAGCAUUUUUUCCAACGGCUAGCAUACUUUUCCAAUUGUUUUCAAUGGGAGCGCCGCGUUUUUUAAAUGCCAGGAGCAUAACAAGGUGCUGAGUAUCUUUUUUACGCUCUAGCUCUAAGCACUCAGCGUUUUUUACCGGUCGCCUCGAGUUGAAGAAUGUUCAACUUUGCGUAAAACACUGCGCUCCUCACUGUCACUUUUUAGUCAGCCGUCCAAUCAGAGUGGAGGAGGGGCGGGACAAAUACAACACGACCAACUGUCACAACAUUCUUGCUGUACAACGACAUCAAUAAGCAGAGAACGGAACAAAAUGGAUGAGAAAUUAAUAUUGCUGGUCUCCGAACAUACAUAGCAAGUACUCUACAUUGUGUCGACAUUUUUAGUCUGAAACAAAUUACCAGCAAAAUCAGUUAUAAGUAACAGUGCUGCGGAUAUUCCGUAUCAUAGCAACGAAGCAUCUCAACUGAAAAAAACACUGCAUUGCUGAAGCGCUCUCAAGCGCUCACAGCUAGGCGUUUUCAGCAGAGCGCCUAGCGUUUUCAGCUGGUUAAAAACGCUUUGGUGGACACACGACCUAAGGCUUUUUUGCUAUUCGAAUCAACACUGGAGUUUAAAAAAUACGACCGAUGAACCAACAACGAGGUUCAGGCAUUAUUAAGCUUAUAUGAGGAGGACGAAAUCCAGCGGGAACUGUAAAGUCGUGCACAGUCCUAUGUCAUCAGACUUAAUCGUCAUGGUACUUUAGACCGUGAUGGAAACACAGACAGCAACAGGUCUGGGGGAAAAAAAGUUCCUGGGACAAAUUGUUCCGGUAAUUUUGGUGGAAAAGUGGCUUAUGUGUACAAUGCAACAGCAAAGAUUUUGUUUACAUUUUAGACAAGUUGCGAUACUGAACAGGACCACAUAAAUAAUAUAAAUAUAAAAAAACAAAAGAACUAAACCAACUGCCUUGACCUGACUGCAGUAUAUGGAUCCAUUCAUAAUUACUAAACACAGCAACAUACACAUGACAAAUCAAAACAUUAUCCUGAAUGUGUGUGGAAACAAUGUGAAUGUACUGAAAUGUGUCUGUGCAUAAAUACAGUGUGCGAUCAGUGCGUUGAGAGUGCACAUAUACUGGUUGUUUGCGCAUUAUAACAUACUCACGUGUGCUUACUCCUGUACGUCACCGCAAUCGUCUUUACCUUGAUGCAAUCCUCAUCCAUCAAAACUUUACUAGCGAGACGCUGGUUUGCUUUAUCCAGCAAAGAAAUUUAGUAUCGUCUGGCCAGCUGUGGGAUGUUUUGACAUACAGUUCAGUCUAUAUUUCACACAGAGUGAUGUGUGAGGGCUUGUGCUCUUCAGAAACAAUGACAGAGCUCAUGUUUUAAGGGGAAAUACACACUGGAAUGAAUAAUUAACUGAAAAUGCAAUGUGAGUCUCUAUUCUCUCUGCCAUCUUUGAUGAAAUAAGCCUGGUUUUGGACUGAUUGUUUGAAUUAAUUCACUUACUGGAUCAUUGAACUGAAAACUUUCCCAGAGUUUAGUGACUUAAAAUGAUCUGAUCGCAAACAGAGAAGCGAAAUCGGGUUAAAAAGGGUUAGAAUAGAAAUUUCCACCUACCAGGGGUACAGGUGCUUGCGCCAUUGACUAAACUCCUGUCUUCUAAGAUCCUCAAACUGUGUGAUGUAAAUUGUUAAUUUGACGUGCUUCACUAAUUUAUUUGCGUUAAAUUAUUUUAACAUGUUAAGAAUUUUGAAUUAAUCGCAUUAACGCUGACAGCCCUAAUAUAUAUAAAUAUAUAUACACACACACGUAUACAAUCAGAUUAAGUGCAAAUAUUUUAUAAUCUUUCGCAGAUUUGUUUAAUAGUAUGAUUUCUGGACAUAAAAAUCAGGAAGAUUUCUGAUCCCCCUUAAUUUUUGCAGCAUUUUGAUGAUGAUGAUGAUUAUGAUGAUGAACCAUUAGGUUGCGAGACCCCUCUGAGAGAGUGGUUCCCAUAAGAUAACGUCAUCAGCUUCUCCAGCUCCCAGCAGCAGCUAAUGCUUGAGGGCUUCAAACAGCCCUGCGGGUUCUAUUGUGGAGUCCGGCUUGUGGGGAGGAGAAGAAACGACCAGCUCAGGUUUCAUGAAGCACCACUCCUCCUUGACACAAAAAAGGGCCAACCUUGCUGACCCUCUGCCCUCUCCCACCAUUGUGUUCUUUCUCUGUUGCUGUGGCUCUAGCCACCAGAUUGGUUUGCUCAGGAAUGGGAGAGGAUGUGUCUGCCGCUCCAUCUGUCAGACAGAGGAUCAAAUAAUAGGAUUUUCUGUCCUGGAAUUGAAGAUAAUUGCAGUCUCUAUUCCGCUCCCUAACCGUAUGAUAUUAACCUUGCACUCCUGAGCCCACACUGGGGGCAGAACUUGGGCCAGAUGGCACUGUGUUUUGAUAUCUGAUCCAGGCGAGGAGGUCAAGUUGAAGUUCAAGUCCAAAGGACCGCUGUCCCUGCCUCCGCUGACACAAUAGAGGUGUCAUUCAAAUAGGACGUCCUUAACAUUACUGGUUCUUUGCUGGGAGGACAAAAAGUGGAAGCAAAAGAGCAGUUAUACAUACGGUGCACUGCUAAGGGUGAAGGCGUAAACCAUUUAUACAUACCGAGGGCACGGCAGGAGAGGCCGGGGGUUGGAAGAGGCUUGCUUUGGGAACGUGAGCAGUGUCAGCGAAUAGAUUCAGUAUCAAAGGUUUUUGCUGUCAUACAUGGGUCAAAAGUGAGUAAGAUAAGCCAUUCAAAUGUCUCAUUGCUGUCUAUUUGCGUUUGAGUUUGUAAGGGCAUUGUGGGGAAAAAAAAACAUAAAGGGAAACUGUCCAAAUGAGAAGCAAAAAUUUGCUUUGUGUGACCGACCAACCCCAUCACCAAAUGUAAUGAAUGAGCCAUUUCGAACACUUUUGAUGAUAAGUCUGCCUGCAUGUGGUACGGUGGCCUCCUGUGGUGGCUUUGAGCCGAAUACACAGUAAUGAUGUUCCCCUUCUCCCAUGGUGCUCCUGAGCGUGCCCUGGUUACUGUCCCCUUGGUAACAUGCACACAUUUAGAAAUCCUUAUAUACACGCUUGCUAUGAUUAUAUUGGUAAGAAAGCAACUAAUUAAAUAAUAUCAAAAGUUUUUUUUUUUUUUUUUUUGCGUGUCAUGAUAUACACUUGAAUGAACUUGGUGAACCUUGAUUCUUGUUUUACACUGAUAUAUAUAUAUAUAACUGUAAAUGAAGCUUAUUGGACCAUAAAGAUCUGAUUUCUUGGCAACAUUUACCCCCUAAUUCUCAUCUGAUUAUUAUUAUAAUGUGAUUUUAAUUUAUAUAUCAUUUUUAUAUAGUGUACAUAUUAUAUAAAUAUUGAGAGAAUUCAGGGAGAAAAUAUGCUUAAUUUUCAUGAAAAUAAUGUCACAAUGCUAAAAAUGGGCUUUAUUUUCUUUAUACAAAUAUAUAUAUAUAUAUAAUUUUUUUUUUUUUUGAUUGUUUUUUAGGGUGAGCCAAAUAUCGCUUCUACAGAAUCUUCUUUUAAAUAAGGGAUUUUGUCAUUUUACUCUUAAGACAUAAGCUGUCUUCCUUAGAAUUUUACCUGGAUUUUUUUUUGAUUCACCCAAAUAUUUCCCAAUUUUACUUCACAUUCAUGAACAAUUAAUGGGAUGAUUUGUUUGUAUAAUGCCAAAAGUUUUUUUCCUUCUUAAAAUUUUUUUCCCAUUUCUUUAAUAUGUUUUCUUUACAUAAGCACCUCCACCUUAUAUGCUCCUUUUGUGGAUGAAUGCCAUGAUUUAUAUAGUCAUGCUCUCUCUUUCCUCCUCUCCCUCCCUCUCUCUGCACCUUGCAUGGGAUGGCGUGAAGUUAUUGUAAUUUAGUGAUGAUUUGUCACUGUCAUCCUCCAGGUUCCCGCUGUAUCCCGAGACCAGCGCUGGGCCCCUCUCCGGCUGGGGUGUACAGGGGACUGCCACGUCAUCUAUAUGGGAGCCCCAUUAAUAAGGGUUAAAUCUGGCUAAUUGUAAUCCAAUUAAUAACAGACACAAUGAUCUAGCGUCCGUUUGUUAUUUGAGGACCCAGCUGAAACGCUUUUGAGGGUUCAUGCCCCCCAGGGUUCGCCCACCAUUGUUGGCUUACUCAGUAUGCAAGGCUAGUUUUUAUUAAAUCUGUUGACUAGCAGCCAAUGUUAGGCUGCAAUGCCAGUGGCCCUCUCCGGUGCAUCUCACUUCUUCAAAGGAGACAACUUAAUGGCAACCCUGGUGUUAUUAUCCUUACCAUAUUUCUUCCAAUUACCCCUGUUAUCUCUCUCUUUCUUUACAUUCCAAUUUAGUACAGUAAAUCACGAGAAGCGGACUUUUAUUGUCAAUGAUAUAUGCCGUAGAACUGAGUGAGAGAAAAAUAGGAGAGUGAACCUAUUUGUGUUUAUGGCUUUAGAGGGAAAGAGAUAAAUGACCUGGCUUUUUUAUUUAGUUUUAAUGAAGAAGGGAUUGAGGGACUCCCUGUCCCGGUGGCAUUAAUGUGAUUUUUUUCUCCUCUCCAAAGAAGCGCUUGCCUGUCCUCGCAUUUGUUUGUGACCUAGUUGUGCUGGUCUCCGGAAAGGACAUCCGGCUUUGUUUGCGUGAACAUCCAGUGUCCUCCGUGCUCAUAAACACACUAAUGGGUUUUUCAUCGCGGCAGCUGGACAGGGGUGGAGAAGGAGCGAGCACUUACAGUAAACGAUCAGUGUCCCUCGAUAUUAAACGUCCCUCCGGCCACUAGGCUAAACGAUGGUUCCAUUUAGACCCUCCCCAAAGCUCCCUCCUACCCACUUAAAGCCCCCGCCUCCACCGUCUCCUGCUCCCGUACAAGGCAGCACCAAACAAUAUUAGCCGAGCCACCUUAUGCUCUCCACAUGAGUCCCCUCAAUCGUUCAGCGUUAAUUGGAUACUCAGUCCCCAAUUAAGUUCUUGGCCCAAAAGGAGAGCAUGAAAAAACAAGACAGGUUUAGCUCCCUUCUGUGGGACUUCAUUAGACGGCUACUGCUGCAACAUCCUUAGGGAGAGAGAGAGGACAGUGUCGUACACACGCACACACUCACGCACAGUAAACACAAUAGCCCGGUGACACAGCUCGAGUGAAGGGGCUGGAGCGCUGGGAGAGUGAGGCUGGAGAGAAGUUAAUUACACACACUGUGUGUUUCUCACUCGCCUGAAAUAUUUGGAAUUCAUUAGCAAAAUCAAUAUUCAUUCGAUAUCCACGCAGAAACACAGAGUGUGUGUUGUUCGUCUAAAUAUGAAAAAUUUUAAUCGUUAACUCAUGCACCCUCAUUAUGCUCUGAGCCUGUGUAACUUUCUAUCCUGCGUGGAACACAAGUGGUAUUGUUUUUACUCUUUUUCAAUAUAAUGCAAGUGAAUGAGGCCUAAAAAUGGACCCUAAAAGAAUGAUAAAAGUGGUUCACAUGACUCACAUGUUCACAUGUGUGAUGUUGCAACCCAUUCUCAAUCAGAAGGUGUCGCUAUAUCGAAGAACUAGGAAUGCCAUUACUUUUAAAAAUGUCUUCACACCUGUUUUAUUUCUUUUUUUUCCUUUUUUUUUUUUUUUUUUUUUUUUUUGUGAAGUAAAAUUGAUUACACAUUUAAUUCUUUGCAUCUAUCCAAAAGUAUGUAAGGUAGUACAACUAGAUCUCUUUUAUUGAAUCUAAAAGGUUUUAAUUAUAUUUUGCUAAAUUUAAAUGUAUUUUAAAGAUUUUGAAGUGUCAAAAGGUCAUUCGGUUUAACCGUCCAAAGGCCAAUACAGCCAUUUCAUUUGUGAUUAAAAUAUCUUAAAAUGUAAUAAAUGUAUAUAUGUUUUAUUCUGGCAUGAUUUUAUAACAUCAUAUAUCAACAUAGUGCAAAAUGGUAUUAAAAUUAUGUGUAGUCGUUGCUUUGUUAUGAGAAAGAAUGUCUGGAAAAAUGAAUUUUAUUGAUGUCAUUCGGAGUAACCAAUAUUUAAGUCAUGCGGUCAAUAUCAUGUGACAGGAUGUGACAUCAUUCAGACACCUGCAAAGGACCACAUGGUCGUGAAGCAAAGUAAUUAACUUUCUUAACUAUUUGAAAAAUUCAUGUUUUCACUUGAUCAUUCGCAUGUCCCGAAACAUUGGGUCAUUUGGUACAACCACUAUAAAACAUGGAAAAUGUUGUAAUAUUUUAGAAAUUUGUACUAAAUAUAAAAUGUUUGGUUGUCCUUUUGCUAGCUAGUUAGCUUGCUAGCUAGAUAUCAGCCUGUUAGCAUGUUUGAAAAUAUCGUCAUUUGGUAUAACCGAAAGUGUCAUUCGGUAAAACCGAAAUUUUGGUUAUACCGAAUGACUUUUUUGGUGACAAAUUUUGUCCAUCUUGUAAAAAAUUACAAAAGCAGUGUUAAUUAAUUAAAAAAAAAACAAAAAAAAAACACACCCAAUCUCAUUGUUAACACAUAAUAAAACUUCAAAAUUAAUUUAUAUCUCCAUUAUGUUUUUUUUUUUUUUUACACUUUUAAAAACCUUAUUCGUCAAUGACCCACACACACACACACACACACACACAACUAUCACAUGUCUUUAUAAGAUUUGGAAUAUAGUGUUUAAGUAAAAUGUAUUUUCUGGUGCUUUUACAUAAUUUCUAAAGCAGAUUCAUUGUUACAUUAAAAAGAGCAACCAGCACAUUAAUCAAAAUGACUUUUUUUGUGUUCCACAGCAGAAAGAAAGUCUUACAAGUUUGAAACAACAUGAGGUUGAGUAAAUGAUGACAGGAUUUUCAUUUUUGGGUGAACUGCAUGUUGAAAAUGCAUGUUGAGUUUGCCCUCUGUGGAUGGAAAUGUGGCCUCAAACCAGUCCGCCUGUGUUUACCGCCCCUCACUUUUGCUCUCGCAUCCCCCUCUCUCUGUCUUUUUCCACAAGAACGGGGUUGUAGUUUACUCAUAAAUUCAUCAGGCACAAGGUUUGCACGUAACAAUUUGUGACUCGUGUGUCUUUUCAUUUUAGGGAUAGUAGGACACAGACACCGCCGCAAAACAGCAUGCUGUAUACUGUAAUGAAGUUGAUUUUUUAAUGUUCCUGCCACACAGGAUAAAAGGCAGGCUAAUCACAAAGACCAGCCCACCCCCCCAAUCAGUUGCUAUUUAUUUUGACUGGAAGCUCCAGCUAAAAGCGAUGGCAGUGAGCGUGAAGCAAUUCCGUCGAAUCAGAGCUUGCUAGGUUUUGAUUUGGUGUUUGUGUGUGUAUGGCAAUGUUAAAUUCCUCACUGAAUGAUGGAAAGCCAUGUGUGCUUUGUUCAGAGUGGUACUUCAUCGUAACCUCCUCUUAUUUAGUCUCUUUUUACAGGUACUGAAAUGUCUAUUAACAGAAUGGCUGUUGUUCCCUGUGGUUGGCAUGAAAAGAGUUAUCAGGGUAACGUUAACUUUUAAUGCAUCUAUAAAUUUACAAUUAAAUGGCUUCUUAGCUGUGGAUAGUGCUGUCUUCUCCAGACUGUCUUUCCACAGGGUGGUGAUAGCAUGUUGGUGUUGUCCUGAAGCUUGCCUGAAGACUGCCUUAAGGGGAACUCCUCAGAGGAGGCCAUGAGCCUACUGAACUUCCCUCCUUUCACCCCACAUCAGCCAAUCGGCUUCGAGCAACUACGCGAGCCUGGAUAACCGCUCUGGAAGCUGUUUCUCUGAAAUAAAGAAAGCCAUACGGGUUUGGAACAACAUAAGGUUUACUGAGCAACGUAAAGUGACGUCAUCCAAGUCACGUCAUUGCUCUAACCGAGAAGAAUCCAUUCAUACUUGGCAGACACUCGCAAGCGACCAGAGCAAACUUAAUAGAACAACUUGCUGAACUGGAUGCUGAAUACUAAUGAGUGAGCCUCAACACUUAAGGUUUGUGCUGAGUUUCACUGUAUCAAAGAAAGCGAUACACACCAGCAAGAUUUCAGAGAUGAUGUGAGACAUUGAAUGUUUAUGAUCUUCCGGAAACGAGCUCUGCGUGCUUUCCCAGUGUACGUGUGAGGACGACCCACAGUUCUUCAAGACUUGAAAUGGCGUUUGGCAUAAUCUUUGCACGUUCGCUUUGUAGACACUGGAUCUGAAGAAAGACGUGAACAUCUUGGAUGACAUGGGGGAAGAGUUGGCCGAGCCAGACAUCACUGACAUCAACUGACACAAACAUCACAAAAGGGAUUUUGUCAUCAUGGACAACGAAACCACUGCACUGCAGUUGUGAUGGAAGAUGAUCUUCCAGUGUGUUUGACAUGUUCAGAAAUACACAGUCACAAGGUUAAAAAAAAAAAAAAAAAAAAAAAAAAAAAAAAAAAGGUUGGAUAAAAAAAAGUCAAUUGUAUAGCCAAAGUUGUGUUUUUUGUUGUUGUUUUUUUUAAUGGUGAACUUCAGCUUGAUGAAUUAGUUAUUAGCCUGAGUUAUGCAUAGGUGUUUUUGAGUUAAUAUUUGUAUUUAAUAAAGUACCACUGCAUCAAAAUAGAGAAAUGAAAAACAUUAACAUUAAUGGUAAACAACAGUAAAGUACAGUGCCCUUAAACAUUAAAUAAAAAAACAAAUUAAAACA